UAGGCCCGGGACUCAGCGUUCUUAGACGGGGGUCCCAGGGUGCCCCACGUAGACAGCGCCAUGGCCAGCGAACAGGGCAGGCGCUGAGCCAGCUGGCUGCAUGGCUCCGGAAGCCUCCCGGAUGAUCUAAAGUCCAACCUGAGUGGCCCUGCAGCCUGCUGGAGCCGGGGUUCUCCUGAAAGCAAAGGGUCACCUUGUGUCUGUGCUCAGACCUGGGAGAGGCUGGGCUGGGUGGACGCCACGUUCAAGUGAAGUCACACCCCAUCCUCCUCCUCUGUUGUUCUCCCCGAUGCCCCUGGAACUUUGGACCACCCAGAGGGAGGAAUAGCGACCACCGCGAGAAAGCGCUGAAGGGCAAGCCAGCAGAGAUUACAAGGCUGAGCUAUACCUGGACCUACCUUCGACCCCCACUGGCCACGCUGACCCCCACAACCCUGCCCCGGCCAUACUGAUCUCCUCAUGGGCUUUCCCUCCACCUGGAGAAGCCUCUCCUGACAGCCCCCACCCCCAUCUAGGCUGCUCUACCCUUCCCAGCUGAACUGAACUCGGCUGGGUUCUGCCAGCUCAGCCCUUGGGGCCUCAUGUCACAGCUCACCCCUCCCUGCGUCACCUGGCCGCCCCUUCUUGCCAUGCACCGCCCUUUGGGGACCUUGUCAUUUACUCCCUGCAAGCCCGUGUUUCCCUGUGCUGACCUCGGGACCCGUUGUCCUUGCUCGAUGCCUGCGGUCCCUGCUGAGCUGAGGCUCCAUCCUCCACCUGCGCCUGGAGCGCCUGGGCGCAGCCAGGCCGGGUGACGGCACGGCCAGAAGUCAUUACAAUCACCUGCCCUCCUCUCUCUCUUCCCAGCCCUUCUUGUUUCUCUUCUCUUUUUCUUUGUCUCUUUCUUUCUCUUUUUUGGCUGGUUUCCCUAAUGUUUAGCACGGAAUGUAACAUAAAA
rnacentral:lncRNA from 1 species